GGUAAGAUGGCUGAGGUAAGGCAUUAGACUGUAAAUCUAAACACAGAGGAUUUCUCCCUCUUUUUACCA
rnacentral:tRNA from 1 species